rnacentral:tRNA from 1 species
GGGGUAGCUCAGCGGUAGAGCGCUCGGCUGUUAACCGAGUGGUCGGCGGUUCGAAUCCGUCCC